rnacentral:rRNA from 1 species
AUUGAACGCUGGCGGUAUGCUUAACACAUGCAAGUCGAACGGUAGCAGCUCUAGCUUGCUAGAGGCUGACGAGUGGCGGACGGGUGAGUAACGCGUAGGAAUCUGCCCAUCAGUAGAGGACAACUCGGGGAAACUCGAGCUAAUACUGUAUAUUACUCUACGGAGGAAAGUAAGGGACCUUAUGGCCUUACGCUGAUGGAUGAGCCUGCGUCGGAUUAGCUAGUUGGUGGGGUAAAGGCCUACCAAGGCGACGAUCCGUAGCUGUUCUGAGAGGAAGAUCAGCCACACUGGGACUGAGACACGGCCCAGACUCCUACGGGAGGCAGCAGUGGGGAAUAUUGGACAAUGGGGGCAACCCUGAUCCAGCAAUACCGCGUGUGUGAAGAAGGCCUGCGGGUUGUAAAGCACUUUCGUUAGGGAGGAAGGCUUAUACGUUAAUAGCGUAUAGGAUUGACGUUACCUAAAGAAGAAGCACCGGCUAACUCUGUG